rnacentral:rRNA from 1 species
AUUGAACGCUGGCGGCAUGCCCUACACAUGCAAGUCGAACGGCAGCGGACCUUCGGGUGCCGGCGAGUGGCGAACGGGUGAGUAAUAUAUCGGAACGUACCUUUCAGUGGGGGAUAACGUAGCGAAAGUUACGCUAAUACCGCAUAUUCUGUGAGCAGGAAAGCAGGGGAUCGCAAGACCUUGCGCUGAUUGAGCGGCCGAUAUCAGAUUAGCUAGUUGGUGAGGUAAAGGCUCACCAAGGCGACGAUCUGUAGCGGGUCUGAGAGGAUGAUCCGCCACACUGGAACUGAGACACGGUCCAGACUCCUACGGGAGGCAGCAGUGGGGAAUUUUGGACAAUGGGCGCAAGCCUGAUCCAGCCAUGCCGCGUGAGUGAAGAAGGCCU